AUGUAUGCAUUUGAUAUGGACCUUGAAAUUCUGCAUGUAUUUGACCCCAAACGUACGUGCGCCGGCAUACGCAUACUCGAAAGGCUACAUCAGGCAAACUGUGAAAUAUUGCUGGAUGGACUUCUAAAAUGUGUUGAAGCUUUCUUUGAAGGCUGGGAACAGGAUAGAUCAAGAUGGAAAUUCAAAUUCCAUGACUAUGUUAAUAGUCCUUGCCGCACAGAGGACACACCGGUCUAUGAUUUUCACUACAUUCUAUCGUUUGAUGGGAUGCAUGUACAAGGGACAAUUGACACGGAAAGUGUCGAUCAUCUAAGGAAGAAACUGAUGUACCUGGUGCUGAGGAUGGAAAGUAAUCUCGGUUAUCUCGAUCCAAACAGCGAGGAGGACUGA
rnacentral:rRNA from 1 species